rnacentral:rRNA from 1 species
AACGAACGCUGGCGGCAUGCCUAACACAUGCAAGUCGAACGAGACCUUCGGGUCUAGUGGCGCACGGGUGCGUAACGCGUGGGAAUCUGCCCUUCGGUUGGGAAUAACUGAGAGAAAUUUCAGCUAAUACCUUAUAAUGUCUUCGGACCAAAGAUUUAUCGCCGAGGGAUGAGCCCGCGUAGGAUUAGGUAGUUGGUGGGGUAAUGGCCUACCAAGCCGACGAUCCUUAGCUGGUCUGAGAGGAUGAUCAGCCACACUGGGACUGAGACACGGCCCAGACUCCUACGGGAGGCAGCAGUGGGGAAUAUUGGACAAUGGGCGAAAGCCUGAUCCAGCAAUGCCGCGUGAGUGAUGAAGGCCUUAGGGUUGUAAAGCUCUUUUACCCGGGAUGAUAUGACAGUACCGGGAGAAUAAGCUCCGGCUAACUCCGUG